rnacentral:rRNA from 1 species
CCUACGGGGUGCAGCAGUGAGGAAUAUUGGUCAAUGGGCGCGAGCCUGAACCAGCCAAGUCGCGUGAGGGAAGACGGCCCUACGGGUUGUAAACCUCUUUUGCAGGGGAGCAACGGGCGCCACGUGUGGCGCCACUGAGAGUAACCGGAGAAAAAGCAUCGGCUAACUCCGUGCCAGCAGCCGCGGUAAUACGGAGGAUGGGAGCGUUAACCGGAUUUAUUGGGUUUAAAGGGUGCGUAGGCGGAGCGUUUAGUCAGUGGUAAAAUUGAGGGGCUCAACCCCUUCCCGCCAUUGAAACUGGCUAUCUUGAGUGGAAGAGAAGUAUGCGGAAUGCGUGGUGUAGCGGUGAAAUGCAUAGAUAUCACGCAGAACCCCGAUUGCGAAGGCAGCAUGCCGGCUUCCGACUGACGCUGAAGCACGAAAGCGUGGGGAUCGAACAGGAUUAGAUACCCUUGUAGUC